ACGAACGCUGGCGGCGUGCUUCACACAUGCAAGUCGCACGGAAAGGCCCUGCUUUUGUGGGGUGCUCGAGUGGCGAACGGGUGAGUAACACGUGAGUAACCUGCCCUUGACUUUGGGAUAACUUCAGGAAACUGGGGCUAAUACCGGAUAGGAGCUCCUGCUGCAUGGUGGGGGUUGGAAAGUUUCGGCGGUUGGGGAUGGACUCGCGGCUUAUCAGCUUGUUGGUGGGGUAGUGGCUUACCAAGGCUUUGACGGGUAGCCGGCCUGAGAGGGUGACCGGCCACAUUGGGACUGAGAUACGGCCCAGACCCCUACGGGAGGCAGCAGUGGGGAAUAUUGCACAAUGGGCGGAAGCCUGAUGCAGCAACGCCGCGUGCGGGAUGACGGCCUUCGGGUUGUAAACCGCUUUCGCCUGUGACGAAGCGUGAGUGACGGUAAUGGGUAAAGAAGCACCGGCUAACUACGUG
rnacentral:rRNA from 1 species